GACGAACGCUGGCGGCGUGCCUAAUACAUGCAAGUCGAGCGAAGUUUUUCUGGUGCUUGCACUAGAACAACUUAGCGGCGAACGGGUGAGUAACAAGUAAAGAACCUGCCUCAUAGACUGGGACAAAUAUUGGAAACGAUAGCUAAUACCGGAUAACAGUAUUUCUCGCAUGAGAGAUAUUUAAAAGUUGGUUAUGCUAACACUAUGAGAUGGCUUUGCGGUGCAUUGGCUAGUUGGUGGGGUAAAGCCUCACCAAGUCGAGGAUUCAUAGCCGACCGGAGAGGCGGAUCGGCCACACUGGAGCUGAGACGCGGCCCUGAGUCCUGAGGGAGGCAGCAGAAGGGAAUGUUCCGCAAUGGGCGAAAGCCUGGCGGAGCGGCGCCGCGUGAGUGAAGAAGGAUUUCGGUUCGGAAAGCUCUGUUGUUAGGGAAGAAUGGAUAUGUAGUAACAAGACGUGUAAGAGACGGUACCUAGCCAGAAAGCCACGGCUAACUACGUG
rnacentral:rRNA from 1 species